UACGUAGGGGGCAAGCGUUGUCCGGAUUUAUUGGGCGUAAAGAGCGUGUAGGCGGCCAAGCAGGUCCGCUGUGAAAACUCGAGGCUCAACCUCGAGACGUCGGUGGAAACCGUUUGGCUAGAGUCCGGAAGAGGAGAGUGGAAUUCCCGGUGUAGCGGUGAAAUGCGCAGAUAUCGGGAAGAACACCCGUGGCGAAGGCGACUCUCUGGGACGGUACUGACGCUGAGACGCGAAAGCGUGGGGAGCGAACAGG
rnacentral:rRNA from 1 species